AAGACAACUACCCUCAAUUGCCUACAGUCACAGGUCCCUCAAGUCCGGGAAGUGACUUUAGAGAUUAGGACCUAAAGGCUUGGCGGCUUCCUUCUCACUGUCUCCUGGAUCUCUCAUUCUGGUGGGAGUUAGGCGCCAUGUCAUGAGGACAUUCAAGGAGCCCUCUGGGGAGUUCCCAUUGUGAGGAGCUGAGGCUUCCUGACAACAACCAACACCAACUCGCCAGGACAGGAGAUGAGCAGAAGACAAGGGAAGCAGGGCCGGGCGUGGUGGCUCACGCCAGUAAUCCCAGCACUUUGGGAGGCUGAGGUGGGCGGAUCAGGAGGUCAGGAGUUCAAGACCAGCACGGCCAACAUAGUGAAACCCUGUGUCUACUAAAAAUACAAAAAAAAAUUAGCUGGGCGUGGUGGCGCAUGCCUGUAGUCCCAGCUACUUGGGAGGCUGAGGCAGGAGAAUUGCUUGAACCCGGGAGGUGGAGGUUGCUGUGAGCUGAGAUGGUGCCACUGUACUCCAGCUUGGACAAGAGAGUGAGACUUUGUCUCAAAAAAAAACAACAACAACAACACACACACACACACACACACACACACACACACACACACACUAGGGAAGAAGACCCCAGCUGAGAGAGUGGCCAUACUGAAGAAAGUGGAUUCAUCUAUUAGCUCUGAGAUCAAAAUGCAGCUGCCUAGUGAUGACAAUAAAGGGAACUUGCAGUGAAA